GACAGAGGGUGCAAACGUUGUUCGGAAUUACUGGGCGUAAAGCGCGUGUAGGCGGCUUGGCAAGUCGGGUGUGAAAGCCCCGGGCUCAACCUGGGAAGUGCACUCGAAACUGCUUCGCUUGAGUACUGGAGAGGGUAGUGGAAUUCUCGGUGUAGAGGUGAAAUUCGUAGAUAUCGAGAGGAACAUCGGUGGCGAAGGCGGCUACCUGAACAGUUACUGACGCUGAGACGCGAAAGCGUGGGGAGCAAACAGG
rnacentral:rRNA from 1 species